CCACUUUGACAGCAAACGUGGAGAUAUUUGGAGUUUGCCCAGCUGGUUUCCUAUCUUGCCUUGGGGAUUACAGUUUAGUGAUUAGCUGAAAUCUCAGAAGAACCUUGAACUUUAGACUUUUAAUACUAUGGAGACUGCUAUAGAUUAUGGGGGCUUUGGAAGUUGAACGAAAUGUAUAUUUUAUUAUGCUAAGGAUUUGGACUCCAGUUUGAUGACACAGAAUCUGCUUCUUUUCAGCUGAAAAGAAUAUCCACAUCUCUCCUUAAAAAUAGCUGAGUUUCCUGCUAUUAAAAAAAUAAAUAGCCGGGCAGUGGUGG